AACGAACGCUGGCGGCGCGCCUAAUACAUGCAAGUCGAGCGAGAAGACGUAGCAAUACGUUUGUAAAGCGGCGAACGGGUGAGGAAUACAUGGGUAACCUACCCUCGAGUGGGGAAUAACUAGCCGAAAGGUUAGCUAAUACCGCGUACGCUCCUUGGACUUCGGUUCAGGGAGGAAAGCGAUACCGUGGGUAUCGCGCUCUUGGAUGGGCUCAUGUCCUAUCAGCUUGUUGGUGAGGUAACGGCUCACCAAGGCUUCGACGGGUAGCUGGUCUGAGAGGACAAUCAGCCACACUGGCACUGCGACACGGGCCAGACUCCUACGGGAGGCAGCAGUAAGGAAUAUUGCGCAAUGGGCGAAAGCCUGACGCAGCGACGCCGCGUGGGGGAUGAAGGUCUUCGGAUUGUAAACCCCUUUCGGGAGGGAAGAUGGAACGAGCAAUCGUUCGGACGGUACCUCCAGAAGCAGCCACGGCUAACUUCGUGCCAGCAGCCGCUGU
rnacentral:rRNA from 1 species